UACGUAGGGUGCAAGCGUUAAUCGGAAUUACUGGGCGUAAAGCGUGCGCAGGCGGUUAUGUAAGACAGAUGUGAAAUGCCCGGGCUUAACCUGGGAACUGCAUUUGUGACUGCAUGGCUAGAGUUUGGCAGAGGGGGGGGUAGAAUUCCACGUGUAGCAGUGAAAUGCGUAGAUAUGUGGAGGAACACCGAUGGCGAAGGCAGCCCCCUGGGUCAAGACUGACGCUCAUGCACGAAAGCGUGGGGAGCAAAC
rnacentral:rRNA from 1 species